GGUGACGGUAACUCAAUUGGUCAGAGUCCCAGAUUGUGAUUCUGGUUGUUGCGGGUUCGAGUCCCGUCCGCCACCC
rnacentral:tRNA from 1 species